rnacentral:rRNA from 1 species
UACGUAGGGGGCAAGCGUUGUCCGGAAUCAUUGGGCGUAAAGAGCGUGUAGGCGGUUCGGUAAGUCGGAUGUGAAAACUCCAGGCUCAACCUGGAGACGCCAUUCGAUACUGGUGUGGCUAGAGUCCAGUAGGGGAGUGUGGAAUUCCUGGUGUAGCGGUGAAAUGCAUAGAUAUCAGGAGGAACACCAGCGGCGAAGGCGGCACUCUGGGCUGGAACUGACGCUGAGGAGCGAAAGCGUGGGGAGCGAACAGG